rnacentral:piRNA from 1 species
GAUUCUUUCUGUCUCGGAGAAAUGGG